rnacentral:lncRNA from 1 species
UCUUUUUAGCAGUCAUAUACACAGAUACAUGUGGAACUGUUGUAACAAUACACAUCUAUCAAAUUGUCUCCAUAAUCAUCUUCACACACUGAAUCACACAACACGUCUGAACAUUCUACAUCAAGUUUGCUCAAGCAUUUACAGGUCGGGUGUGGACCACUAGCCAGAGGAUGCACUGUGUAAGAGGAAAAGCAACACAAAAAAGAGAUUUGUGUUUUUGCAAAAGUUCGAAACAUCAGAUAAAUACAUGUUAUACUUUAAUAUGAAUUACAUUGCCAAGUUAUGUUUAAAAUUAGUAUCAGGUUUUGGUUUAGAGAUCGGGACCACAACAGUUAACGAAGCAAAAACAUUAAUUCACAUCCAAAAUCUCAUCCCCUAUUUCAUAAAAAAAUUACUUUGUAUCAUGAUUUAGAUUAAAUCAUGAUUCAAAAAUUUAAAAAGAUGGUUAUACUUUGAAAUAAGUUUAUAAAUUAUAAUCUCAAAAGAAAACUUUGAUCUUUAAUUUGAUUAACUAUACCGAUAAAAAUUUGUCGAAUAUGAACCAAAAGUGCAUAUCCAUAUCUCUUAUUUUUUGACAUGCAUGGACUUUACAAGCAACGGCUCUAUCUUUAUAACAAGUUGAGUAGAUAUAGGAAAUACUUACAUCCUUUUUUACAUGCAGGAUAAUCCGAAAAAGCAACGCUGACCAUCAUUAUAACAAUUGCGAUACUGAUAAAAUACUUGUUCAUCAUCUUGUCUUCUUAUUACGAGAAUGACAAAAUCUCGGGAGACUAAAAAUGUUUUAUUUCGACUUCUUAUAUAGUUGCAAUGUGAUGUGCAAAAUUAUAUAUCAUAUAUAUGUAAU